GCCUGAUACAGUCAGGUGCGUCAUGAAUUCCAAGGCUGACCCACCAAAUCAGGGAGCUUGGGUCCCAUGAUCUAGGGCUUUUGCCAGCAAGUCAAGGCCUUAAAUUCCUGGAGGCUGAUCACCUGCCAAAAACCACUUCACAGAUGAACGUGUCCUGAAAGGGGGCUUAUAUACCUUGGAUAUAUGAUCCGCCCUCCUGACAAGCCACAGCAGCACUUAAAAAGGCUUGUGAAGGGAUGAUGCCAGUGGAAGAAAACAGGAACUUUGACCUCCCAGAGCCUAUGGAUACCAAGAAGGGAUCAGAUGACUGAUUUUUUCAAAAGCUUCCUGGUGGAAUAAAUGCAUUUCACAGGACUCACAUGAAUGAACGUCUCUGGACACCUAAUCACCAUUUAUCAAUCUCACUUCUAUGAGAAAAACACAUUUCAAGUACCUACCCUCCAGCUUGUCAACAAAUUCAUUAAAAAAGAAGGGAACAUCAGUUAUAUAAAGCCAUGGUGUUUUUGCCUUACUAUCAAGCUUUUGGAUGAAAUGGAAAAGUUAAAUCCGCCCGGGAGGCAUUUCUAACUCUCCACAUUUAGCCACGGAAUAGUUAGACUAAUACCUGAAUUCUCCAUUUACAUUUUCAGCUUGCAUUCACAGAUCUGGAGUCAUAGAGAAAUUACUGGUGUGGUGUCAAGUCUAAGUUUUAAU
rnacentral:lncRNA from 1 species